CUUGCUUUUUGGUGCUUGCUUGGCCUCUUGGCUUAGCGGGUGGCUUUUAGCCGAGCGGUCUACGGGGAUGAUUUCCGUAAAGGUGCAUGAGUGGUGUUUGGUUUGUUGCGGAUGGUUGGAUGUCUGCUUGCGCAGCAACUUCCAUGCGGGCUUACCUCUUCAAUUGUGCUACAAGCCUUGUUUGGCUUGCAUCGUUCGGUGGGUUUCUUGUGUUGCUUACCUAAUCGAUGGCAUUGUUUGUCCCUAUAAGUUAGAUUUUGUAACACGUUGCUUGCGGCGUGAUACAAACGAUGAAGCAACCUUUGUUGUUCAACCUGUUGCUGCUCAUGCAUCGAUGGCUUGGCCCAUGAAGUGUUGAUUGGUCCCUUGGAUAUGGAACAUGAUGUGGGCACAAGUUCGUCAAAGAUCUUGAAUUUGCCCUUAUCGA
rnacentral:misc_RNA from 1 species